rnacentral:rRNA from 1 species
CGAACGGACCGUAUACGCAGCUUGCUGCGUGUAUGGUUAGUGGCAGACGGGUGAGUAAUGCAUAGGAAUCUACCUAGUAGUAUGGGAUAGCCACUAGAAAUGGUGGGUAAUACUGUAUAAUCCCUGCGGGGGAAAGAUUUAUCGCUAUUAGAUGAGCCUAUGUCAGAUUAGCUAGUUGGUGGGGUAAUGGCCUACCAAGGCGGUGAUCUGUAGCUGGUCUGAGAGGAUGAUCAGCCACACUGGAACUGAGACACGGUCCAGACUCCUACGGGAGGCAGCAGUGGGGAAUAUUGGACAAUGGGCGCAAGCCUGAUCCAGCUAUGCCGCGUGAGUGAGGAAGGCCUUAGGGUUGUAAAACUCUUUCAGUAGGGAAGAUAAUGACGGUACCUACAGAAGAAGUCCCG